rnacentral:RNase_P_RNA from 1 species
CGAGUUGGCCGGGCGGCCGCGGGCCACGGGGAGACCCGGGGUUCGAGGAAAGUCCGGACUUCACAGAGCAGGGUGAUUGCUAACGGCAAUCCGGGGCAACCCGCGGGAAAGUGCCACAGAAAACAGACCGCCGCCCGCAAGGGCGGUAAGGGUGAAACGGUGCGGUAAGAGCGCACCAGCAUCCCGGGUGACCGGGAUGGCUAGGCAAACCCCACCCGAAGCAAGGCCAAGAAGGCCGCAACCUGGUUGCGGUCGCGCGAGCGUUCGAGGGCUGCUCGCCCGAGCUUGCGGGUAGGCCGCUUGAGGCACCCGGCGACGGUGUGUCCAGAUGGAUGGUCGCCUAUCGGUCCUCCGUCAGGAGGGUCGGUACAGAAUCCGGCUUACAGGCCAGCUCGUCCG